GAACUGCGUGGAGCGGCGUCCGGAGCUUCUGGGGCUGCUGAAGAAGCAGGCGCAGGUGUGAAAACACACCCUCCUCGAGGGUAACCACCUGAUCCACGCGAGACUCACGGGGCCACAGGGUCAGCAGGCGUCAGGGUGAGCUGAAGCGCUGGUGGAUGCCCACCACGGGCUUAGUGCCUUCGAGUGGCCUAGGCUUGCUGGAGCCCACCUCCUUUGAGAUGAGCCGGUGGCCUCUAUUUGCUGGGGCCUGAUAGAGCCAAGGAGCCACCUGCUGGAGUGACAGCAUUACCAUUCUCUUCAUCAACCAGACUGAAUUCUGAACUUCAUUUAUCCAUUCAACAAAUAGAUACCCAGGGACUGCCAACUGAAUCUCAGUGGAACUGUUCUAGACUCUGCGAAUACAAAGGAACAUGAUGCACACUCAUCCUCUGAAAAAAUCCCAGAGGAAAGAGCAUCUGACAGAAGGGAGAGAAAUGACGGGAAGUGAGAAGAGGAAAAGAUGACAAGAGCUCAACACAGAACAAUUGAGUCAAAGGAGCCAAAAUAGAAAAUAAAGAAAAAAAGGGAAAAAAUAAUCAUCAAAAUCAAGACUUUUUUAAUAUAUGCACAUGGGAUGCUGUUUCAGUGCAAAAUGCAGCAUAAAAGGAAUGAAACCACUGCAGCGACUUGCAAGAUUCUGAACAGAGAAUGAGGAAGGCAUAAAAUCAUCCUACAAGAAAUGAUAAAAAGAAAACAGAAGUAAAUGAGGUCAAAACCGGUAAAACAGGAGGCGCUACAGAGACAAAAGUGUGGGCCAAUUUGGGAGAAGAAUGACUAAAAGUCUCCAGACCUUACAUCUGGUUACCCUGAUUGUUUCCUUUAGAAAGGCUGAUUUCUACAGACCUCUGUCAAUGAUUCCUCUCCCUGAAGGAGGUCAAAGAGAAAAGUCACAGGCCUAAAAUGCUGUCCCUUGUGCUAAAGCCCAUGAUACCAAUCCUAGAUUUAACACCUACCCUAAUUGCGGUUUCAGCCUUCCUCCGAAAUGUAAUCUUAACCAGUUUGGAAAUUUCCACUCAGAACCAAUGAGGUAAUCUGUCACAAGGAGCCUCUACAUCCUCCUUCCCAGAGGAAGAAGAGGCAAUCUGCAUAUUAAGACCCUUCCCAGUCCCUUCCCUCUUCCUCCAAACACAGGAGCAACAAAAGAAAGUGUCCUGGCCUAAAGAAAAUCCUCUUUAUUUUGCUAAUAGCUCCCUUGUGCCACCCUUCUUCCUAUAAAAACUCCCUUUGGUACAACCUCUCAGGGAGCCCCCUGUUGGCUAGAUGGGAUGCUGCCUGCUUUAUGAGUCAGUGAAUAAAACAAAUUGGCUCUUGAUACAUGCGAUUGAAUUUCGAUUUUUAACCAGGACCACAGCUGAUUGAUUAAUAUGUCAUGUCAUUUAAGCAAUAAACAUGUCA